rnacentral:rRNA from 1 species
AGAACGAACGCUGGCGGCAUGCCUAAUACAUGCAAGUCGAACGAACUCUUCGGAGUUAGUGGCGCACGGGUGCGUAACGCGUGGGAAUCUGCCCUUGGGUUCGGAAUAACAGUUGGAAACGACUGCUAAUACCGGAUGAUGACGAAAGUCCAAAGAUUUAUCGCCCAGGGAUGAGCCCGCGUAGGAUUAGCUAGUUGGUGAGGUAAAGGCUCACCAAGGCGACGAUCCUUAGCUGGUCUGAGAGGAUGAUCAGCCACACUGGGACUGAGACACGGCCCAGACUCCUACGGGAGGCAGCAAGUAGGGAAUAUUGGACAAUGGGCGAAAAGCCUGAUCAGCAAUGCCGCGUGA